rnacentral:rRNA from 1 species
GACGAACGCUGGCGGCGUGCUUAACACAUGCAAGUCGAACGGAAAGGCCCUGCUUGCAGGGUACUCGAGUGGCGAACGGGUGAGUAACACGUGGGUGAUCUGCCCUGCACUUCGGGAUAAGCCUGGGAAACUGGGUCUAAUACCGGAUAGGAGCCAUUUUUAGUGUGAUGGUUGGAAAGUUUUUUCGGUGUAGGAUGAGCUCGCGGCCUAUCAGCUUGUUGGUGGGGUAAUGGCCUACCAAGGCGGCGACGGGUAGCCGGCCUGAGAGGGUGGACGGCCACAUUGGGACCGAGAUACGGCCCAGGCUUCUAAGGGGGGCAACAGUGGGGAAUAUUGCCCAAUGGGCGGAAGCCGUAUGGAGCGACGCCGCGUGGGGGAUGACGGCCUUCGGGUUGUAAACUCCUUUCGCUAGGGACGAAGCUUUUUGUGACGGUACCUAGAUAAGAAGCACCGGCUAACUACGUG